UAGGGAAUCUUCCGCAAUGGACGCAAGUCUGACGGAGCAACGCCGCGUGAGUGAAGAAGGAUUUCGGUUCGUAAAACUCUGUUGUUAGAGAAGAACAGCGCAUAGAGUAACUGUUAUGCGUGUGACGGUAUCUAACCAGAAAGCCACGGCUAACUACGUGCCAGCAGCCGCGGUAAUACGUAGGUGGCAAGCGUUGUCCGGAUUUAUUGGGCGUAAAGCGAGCGCAGGCGGUCAAUUAAGUCUGAUGUGAAAGCCCCCGGCUCAACCGGGGAGGGUCAUUGGAAACUGGUCGACUUGAGUGCAGAAGAGGAGAGUGGAAUUCCAUGUGUAGCGGUGAAAUGCGUAGAUAUAUGGAGGAACACCAGUGGCGAAGGCGACUCUCUGGUCUGUAACUGACGCUGAGGUUCGAAAGCGUGGGUAGCAAACAGG
rnacentral:rRNA from 1 species